UACAGAGGUCUCAACCGUUGUUCGGAUUCAUUGGGCGUAAAGGGUGCGUAGGCGGUCGUGCAAGUCGGAUGUGAAAUCUCAGGGCUCAACCCUGAAACUGCAUUCGAUACUGCGCGGCUAGAGUGCUGGAGGGGAGACUGGAAUUUACGGUGUAGCAGUGAAAUGCGUAGAUAUCGUAAGGAAGACCGGUGGCGAAGGCUAGUCUCUGGACAGUUACUGACACUGAGGCACGAAGGCCAGGGGAGCAAACGGG
rnacentral:rRNA from 1 species